AAUAUGGGUCCAGAAAUAUUUUCUUUUCAAGAUAACAUAAGAUGUAAAAGCAUAAUUUAAUAGGUCUAAUAGACAUGUUAAAUUAUAUGCUUGUCUAUGAUGGCUGUUGUAAAUUGUGGUUUGCAAUCAACUGUAAUAAAACAAACUAUAUAUUAAUCACAACAUGUGUACAAGUUACUGGGACAGUCCGCAAAUGGCUGGAAAUAACCCAUGAUUUAGCUCUCUUUGAUAGGAGUUACAGUAUACUACUAAUGCUUUUAUGCCCCAUGUUAUUUCAAAAAGGAAAUUUUUCUGAUGCAUGCAUUUAUGGACUUUUUGCUUUAUUUUGAUAAAUAGCAUUUGUGAUUUAAACUUGGCUAGAUCUUUUAAGAAUGCCCUAUAUAUAAAUAGAUCUCAAUUGAUGACUUUCUGCUUUAAAUAUUUUUCUACUGAUGUAUCAAAAAAAAAGAAAAUACAAAUCAAUUGUAAUAAAUAAAUUCUAACCAUCCAUACAGAGAAAUUUUAAAUUACAUAACUAUGCAAUACAGUAUGCCCAAGUUUGAGGGAAAAAACUAAGUCUCCAUUUUGAUUUUUCAGAUUUGAUAAUAGACAAAGAAGUAGAAGUAGAGUGCACACUGAUCACCAUUUUUUCACUGACAAAUUAUGUAAAUAACUUUCAUCUCAAAGUUAUGCUUAAGGCAUUAUGCACUGUACUAAGGCUC
rnacentral:lncRNA from 1 species